UGGGGAAUAUUGCACAAUGGGCGCAAGCCUGAUGCAGCCAUGCCGCGUGUAUGAAGAAGGCCUUCGGGUUGUAAAGUACUUUCAGCGAGGAGGAAGGCGUUGUGGUUAAUAACCGCAGCGAUUGACGUUACUCGCAGAAGAAGCACCGGCUAACUCCGUGCCAGCAGCCGCGGUAAUACGGAGGGUGCAAGCGUUAAUCGGAAUUACUGGGCGUAAAGCGCACGCAGGCGGUCUGUCAAGUCGGAUGUGAAAUCCCCGGGCUCAACCUGGGUACUGCAUCCGAAACUGGCAGGCUAGAGUCUUGUAGAGGGGGGUAGAAUUCCAGGUGUAGCGGUGAAAUGCGUAGAGAUCUGGAGGAAUACCGGUGGCGAAGGCGGCCCCCUGGACAAAGACUGACGCUCAGGUGCGAAAGCGUGGGGAGCAAACA
rnacentral:rRNA from 1 species